rnacentral:misc_RNA from 1 species
CAACUUGAAACUUCCAGAAAAACACAUGUCUCCGCGCUCCGAAAACAAAGUUGGCAGUGCCAGAUUUUGGGAGAAGUCUGGUACGUUUGUAGCAAACACAGAGCAUGUCUGUCAAUCCACUGUUCUCCGGGCCUGUGCCAAACAAGCGUCCUCCCAUCUACAACAGUGCUUCCCCUGGACAGAGAAGGGCCAAUAUCUUGCGUCAGACUAACAUCAACUCCGGCAACAUGAACGUCCGGGACUCGCCUGCUCCGAGGAAGAGACCUCGGAUUGGAGAAACGGAGACCACCAACGACUCGGAUCCAUUUCAUGACUUUGACAGUUUCACUGAGGACGACUUGGAGUCGUUUGACAUGAUAGCAUCCCAGGCGUUGAGCCAGCAGCCUCACCCUGAGCUUCGCCCACCCACACACACCCUCAAAAGGCCUGCCAGUGCCCCAAAGUUCCCGAAUCAGGCGAAAACAAACCUCAUACCACCAGCGCCCUACAGCCAAACUGUAAACAAGAGCAGCAUUGUAAAUAACACACAACCAUCAAGUAGUUCCGGAUCGUUGCAACAAUCCCACGCCAGUGUUGGUAACGCAAGCUCUAAAUUCUCCUUCAAAUCGACAAACUCACGGGGAGGACGACCACAAGCCCAGGCCCCCUCCGGAUUGGCGAAUCGUACGCCGACUCCAACGUUUCCUCAAGCCCAAAGCACAAGCCACACAAGGCAAAGUAAUAUCACAGGAACUAAGAUCUAUUACUCCUCACAGUAUCACAGUGGAAGCACGCCACCAGGCAGUCACCAGCAGGCUGAGAAUUUGGCUUCAACCAAAACCCAAACUCUCCCAUCGAACAGGGUAACAGGGCCUCAUAAGCACACCAUCCAAUCCAACGUCGGUGCCAAAAUCACAAAUUCUUCUACAUCCACCUUUCCAGCUAGAAGUACUCUACAGAAUCUCCACAUUGACACGAGCAGCCGGAGUAAUCCCGUCCCUUACAAUACAAAACCGGGGGCCAUCUCUAACAACUCUAACAUGGGAGCGGGGUUCCACUCUGUACCCCCUCAGGGCGGGGGACGGAGCACCGCGAGUCUUACCCCUCCCAAGGGGGCGAUAGCGAGGGAAUCGCCGGGUCUACCGUCCACUGAAAGGGACACUGGAUCGUCCCAGAUCGCCACACUUCAGCAGCAACAGGUGGCCAAGUACAAGUCUGAAUGCGAGACAAUCAAGAAGCAGCUGGAGCUCCUAACCAAAGAGAUGUUCAGUAAAGAGGGGGAGAUACAGGUACUGAGACAGAACCUCAACAAAUCUAAGGUGGAGACUAGCCGGCUACAGAUGGAACGCUUACAGGCCGAGGAACAGAGGAAACAACAGCUCAGUGAGGUAGAAAGGGAAUUCAAGAAGGAGAACGAAAGCUUGAAAACCCAACUUCAGUUCAAGGAGGUGGAGCUGAUGCAAGCACAGAGUGCCAGUCAGAACCAUAGAACCAGACCGCCCAUUUCCUCCGGCUUAAACCACGCCCCGACCACACCCACAAAGCAAACUGCAACGCCACCGGCCAGUAAGACUGAAGAUGACAUCAGGGACACGGACAUGUUUCCAACGCAGCAGUCAUUCAUGGCGGACAAUCGGAAGGUCGAGAGGGGUCAACUGAGGUCACCCAGGGUCAGGACACUGUCAGAAGGUCAGCCGGCCCGCAGUAGUCCCAAGAGGAGUCCAAGGCGAGGUUUGGCCAGCAAAAGUCCAGGCAAGGUAUCACCAUCAGUUCUCAACUCCAUUCCAGCCUCAAGUUCUAGCUCCUCUAUCCCAUACGGCAAGCCGCCCAGAAAUGCCAAGAAAUCCUCGUUGGUGUCAGAUAGGCUUCAGAAAGCUUCAUCUGCAGAGGCCCAGCUCAUUGGCAUUUUGUUAGAAGACACAGAGAAGCAAGCCACCACGGCUGGAUCCGUGGGUGGGUUGAUGGGUCUAGUCCAGAGCACUGGGUACGACAGGGUACCACCCAGUGAUGGAAUGGAGGCUGCGAUACCAGGACAACCGUUGCCUGCCAAACCCCAAAAAGUCUCCCCAAACAAGAGGCAGCUGAUUCAUCACAAUGAAAAUUCCUCGAAUCGCAGUGUAGAGCUAGCAACAAAGGCCAUCUCUAACAUCCUGAAUCCGCCCCGCAUCCCACCGCUGCCACCAAAUGUCGCCCGCCAAGUACCUCCCUACAGACCACCAACGGGCAAAUCUCAGGACCUGGAGUUUGAAGACCCUGUGGCCUGCAUCACGGACCUCUUGCCUCUCAUGGAGGAUCAGUUGACCUGCUACAUCGACACGACCCACAGCAUAACCCAGAACAAUGCCCCAGCCCUCUGCUCUACCUGUCCCAGUAGCAGCAGCGGUGGUGGCAGCGGGGGUCGAAGCCUGGAGUCCUCCCUCGACUCUCCCGGAUCCAGCAGUCCCAGCGAGGAGCUCAUGGCGUUAGGCCGUGCCGAAUCGGCAGUGCUCACCUCCUUGACUGCCUUGGGUAAGAUGGUGACUUGUUCUCCCACGGUGCGGACUGUUAUCCUUCAUGCUGGGACCUACAAGGACCCCGAAUCCCCUGGAAGCGAUGAAGACGUUUCAGCCAUGGAGAUAGACCCAUCGGCACCUCUCAUUGAUCCAACUCAAGCUCCGUCUAAAUCAGCCGGCCAUUCAUCCGUCGUCCAUGAGCCCCAACCACCACAGCCGCCCACCGAUAGCUUCCCAGACCGGCGCAGUAAUCAUAUCUUGAGCAAGCUGAUGAGGAUUGCUAGUAUGCAGCACGGGCUGGGCAACUGUGGUGCUGUCGUGGAGUCUUCCGUUUACCUGCUGCGGAUUAUUGUCCAGAAGUCAAACAAGGAGGAAUAUGAAAAGUUACAAUCCCUCCUAGUCCACGACGCUCUGUUCAACGCCAUGUGUCGAGACAGCACCUUCACCCAAGUGUCUCAUGCCCUAGACAUCGUGAAAGCAUUGAGUUCAUCCUGGAAGCUGACUUGUAAGCUGUGUAACCAAUCAGAUUCCUGUCUGCUGCUGCAGUGUUAUCAAUGUGGUGUCCAUGGAUCUCAGAGUUGCAGCAAUCCACAGAAAGUCCAGCUUACUGUCAAGGUGAUCUCUAUUCUAUGGAGGAUCAUAGGCACACAUCACCAGGGACCCACCAUGCUGUUAGACGCUGACUGCCAGUGUAGUCUGGAGCUUGUCAGUGCGGUGGUAUUGAUGCUCAGGAGGAUGUUGAAUGUAAUGCAGUUGACGAUGAGCUACCAGCAUCCCACUCAGUACUGGAGGUACGUCUUGCAUGAAGGCCUGCUGGUGCUUCACUGCCUGGCCAUGCAUGACCGAAACUUCACGGAUCACCGACUGGACGUGGAGAAGGUCUACGUGGCUUUAAUCACCGCGCUGAACAAACUCUACCACAGGCUGCCCGACGCGACCGACAAUGAAACUGGUUUAGUGCAGGACUUAUGGGACUUCGUACAUUGGGAUGAGACAGAGUGGGAACUGGAGGAGGAAGAUGACGAAAAUGAGGAUGAGCAACAGGGCGUGGCCAAGAUGGAGAUGGAAUAGUAGUCAGGUAUGAGGCGGGGGGAGUAUAGUACGAGCAGCAGGGCACAUAAUCGGUACGUUUUUUAAAAAUUGAAUUCCCUUUUCCAAAAUGGGACUUUUUGUGAAUUCCGUCCAUGUACCACUCAAGCACAAAAAGUCGUUGGCCUGCCUUUGUCCUGCAUGUAUCACAUAAACAUAGGACUGACAGAAUAUCAUCAUCAUCAUCAUUGGUCGACUGCAGCUUCACUACUUGUGUCGGGCACGAUGACGGACACGCCACAUGACCUGUUCCAUCAUCAGCGUCCCAAGUUCAUCCGCAGUUGCGGCGCCACUGUCCUCCAUCAGGGCCUUCACCAUGGUUUUGUAUGGCCGCCCAUGAUUCACCCGCCCAUGGGCUGGUUCCCAGAUGAUGACUUUGCUGGCGGGCAGCUCUGGGUGAUGCAGGCAGUGCCCUGCUAUCUUGUUGGUCAACUUAGGACGAAAUAUCCCAAGAAUGAAUACCCAAAGAAAGAAGUACAUCUAGCGUAAAUGUGCCUUAUUAUAAACAACCAAAGUUCUUGAGCUGCGUUCUUGCAGUUUUGCUUCGAAACAUUCCUGAAUAUUCCACAGUCCUCCAACAGACCGAUCUAUUAACCCCUCCCAUUACGCACACAAGAUGUCUUCCUCUCAAAUGCCAGACUUGAGAGGCACACAUGCUGGGGUGUGCAUUUAUGGGU